GACGAACGCUGGCGGCGUGCUUAACACAUGCAAGUCGAACGAUGAAGCUGGAGCUUGCUCCGGUGGAUUAGUGGCGAACGGGUGAGUAACACGUGAGCAAUCUGCCCUUCACUCUGGGAUAACUGCGGGAAACUGUAGCUAAUACCGGAUACGAGACCUUGGGGCAUCCCAGGGUCUGGAAAGAAUUUCGGUGAAGGAUGAGCUCGCGGCCUAUCAGCUAGUUGGUGAGGUAAUGGCUCACCAAGGCGACGACGGGUAGCCGGCCUGAGAGGGUGACCGGCCACACUGGGACUGAGACACGGCCCAGACUCCUACGGGAGGCAGCAGUGGGGAAUAUUGCACAAUGGGCGAAAGCCUGAUGCAGCAACGCCGCGUGAGGGAUGAAGGCCUUCGGGUUGUAAACCUCUUUUAGUAGGGAAGAAGCGCAAGUGACGGUACCUACAGAAAAAGCACCGGCUAACUACGUGCCAGCCGCCGCCGUAA
rnacentral:rRNA from 1 species